rnacentral:tRNA from 1 species
GCCGCGAUGGCGGAACAGGUAGACGCAAGGGACUUAAAAUCCCUCGGGAACAAAAUUCCCGUGCCGGUUCGAUUCCGGCUCGCGGCACCA